GAGAAGUGCUUUAGCAAUAAAGAACCCGGUGACAGGUGCUGCAUGACUGUCGUCAGCUCGUGUCGUGAGAUGUUCGGUUAAGUCCGCUAACGAGCGCAACCCUCGUCGUAUGUUAUAUGUGUCAUACGAGACUGCCGGUAAAAGCCGGAGGAAGGUGAGGAUGAUGUCAAGUCAGCAUGACCUUUAUAUCCCAGGGCUACACACACGCUACAAUGGUCUGUACAAUGGGUAGCCAAGCCGCGAGGCGGAGCCAAUCCUGAAAGCAGGCCUCAGUUCAGAUUGCAGUCUGCAACUCGACUGCAUGAAGCCGGAGUUGCUAGUAACCGCAGGUCAGCAAUACUGCGGUGAAUACGUUCCCGGGUCUU
rnacentral:rRNA from 1 species